GAUGAAGAACGCAGCAAAAUGCGAUAAGUAAUGUGAAUUGCAGAAUUCAGUGAAUCAUCGAAUCUUUGAACGCACAUUGCGCCCGCCAGUAUUCUGGCGGGCAUGCCUGUUCGAGCGUCAUUUCAACCCUCAAGCUCAGCUUGGUGUUGGGACUCGCGGUAACCCGCGUUCCCAAAAUCGAUUGGCGGUCACGUCGAGCUUCCAUAGCGUAGUAAUCAUACACCUCGUUACUGGUAAUCGUCGCGGCCACGCCGUAAAACCCCAACUUCUGAAUGUUGACCUCGGAUCAGGUAGGAAUACCCGCUGAACUUAAGCAUAUCAAUAAGCGGAGGA
rnacentral:misc_RNA from 1 species